UGCAAACACGCAACAACUUCGGCUGCAAAGGAAGUUGCCAAGUUGGUAUGUUUGCAUGUAAGGAAACUUUUAAAUGUAGGACUUUACCGUCGCCAUUUCUGAUAAUAAUGCCUGAACUUGAUUUGCUCUCUUUUUGGUUAUAAGCUACAUCAAAAUUAAUUUUUACAGUAUGUGCUUACGGAGCCUUCCACCAUGUUUCCUCAACAGUGGUAUUGCUUUUCCUCAUAUUUAUUCCAUCAAGUUCUUGAAUGUAAGAACUAAUGAAAUUAACUGUUUCUGAUGCUAGCCUCUAUUUUCCUUCAUGCAGAAAUUGGUUCCUGUCAGUCCAUAUUGCCCAAAGCGUACAUCCAAAAACUCUGUCCAUCUGGCUAGAAUGAUUGUCAAAGAAUUGGCUCACCCAAUCCUUAAUGUUUGAAUCAGGUGACAUCGUUAGCCCUUUAAAAUUCAUUAACCAUCAUCUCAGUUGAUUUUUGACAAUCUUUGAAAACAUGCUCCACUGUUUUAGCACCACCUACACAUCGGGGACAUCCAAGAUUGCCAAUUAAUCUUUUGUAAAGCAAAUUAGCAAAAGUAGACAGAAAAUUUUUUAUUAUUCGCCAAAUUGUAAUUUUAAUUUUGUUGGGAAAAUCCAACAACCAAAUUUUCUUGUAAUGUGAAAGGUUAUUAAGAGAUUCCUCUGUUCUGCUUAUAAAAGCAAUCUAUUGGCACUUUUCAUCGAAUACUAGCCAGAGGCUUCCCCUUUCCAGACAAGAAAGUCAUCUUUUAUAGUCUUCGCCAAAGGAAUUCCCAAAAUUUUGUUCGCAUCAUUUGUGGUAAAGGUGCUUUGCGCUAGAUUUACAUUCCAGUUUCUAGUGUCUUGAUUAAUC
rnacentral:lncRNA from 1 species